GAGAGAGAGAGAGAGAGAGAGAGAGAGAGAGAGAGAGAGAGAGAGAGAGAGAGAGAGAGAGAGAGAGAGAUUAGGGUGCCCAGUGAUGUCAUUCAGUACAUGUUGUUUGCCUCAGUGACUCCAGGACGCUGUACAUUUAUGAGCUUUUCUUUUAUUUAUUUUUUCUUCGUUCUGCGCCGCGAUGUGUCUAAGUUGCCGAGGUACCGAGUCUACAUGAUGAGCGCGUGUACGUCCUCUGAAUGCUGAUGUAGGUUACGCAACACACACACACACACACACACACACACACACACUGACAGACUAGCGGACAAGUUAAUAUGCGGACGCUGAAAAAAAAAACACACACAUGCACUCACCUUGUCAAACAGAACAGCUAGGCAAACACACACACACACACACACACACACACACACUCUUCCCUUCCAUUCCUCCCCGCCCCCACACACAUUCAGACCCCCUUCCCCUCCCACACAGAACCCCUUCCCCCCUCCCCCCUCCCUCACCCACACACUUACCCCCUCCUCCCCCUCCCCUCACACACCAUCUUUAGGGAAACAGCAGCAGCAGCAGGAGCGCCGCUACGCCCCGCUGAAUCAAUCAAUGCAGGCAGCGGCAGCAGCAGCGGCGCGCGUUAUUGAGCGUUGCGUCACGCACCGGCCCGCAGCAGAUGACCUGUUGAGGGCUGGCCGAGGGGCGCCACCACCCCCGCCGCCCCGCUGUGUUGCUGUGCUGCUGUGUUGCCGGGCCGAGGUGUUCGUGGGGACGCUCGUGUUGCUAUGUCAUGCGAGGGGUCCUGAGGUGCUGUGCUGCUGUGUCGCUGGGCCAAGGUGUUCGUGAGGGUAUUACUGUUGCCAUGUCAUGCGAGGGGUCUUGAGGUGCUGUGCUGCUGUGUUGCUGUGGUGCUGGGUCAAGAUGGCUGUGGGGGUGUCACUGUUGCCAUGUCUUGCGAGGGGUACUGAGGUGCUGAGAUGCUGUGGUGCUGGGUCAAGAUGGCUGUGGGGGUGUCACUGUUGCCAUGUCUUGCGAGGGGUCCUGAGGUGCUGUGCUGUUGUUUCCUGGUGGUCGGGUGUUCUCGCUGCGCCUUGUCCUUAUGUUGUUUUAUGUCUCAACGAAAACACCUCAGCACAUAUUUUCAAACAUUUCGGGGCCUACACACACACACACAUAUGCUAAGGCUUUCGUAGAGGUUGUGUCAGUAUUUCCACGGGUAGUUUUAUGAGCCUAGUGAUAGUUUGACAAGGCUUAUGCUCACACUCACAUAUGCUAAGGCUUUCGUAGAGAUUGUAUCAGUAUUUCCACGGGUAGUUUUAUGAGCCUAGUGAUAGUGUGACAAGGCUUAUGCAAACACUCACAUAUGCUAAGGCUUUCGUAGAGAUUGUGUCAGUAUUUCCACGGGUAGUUUUAUGAGCCUGGUGAUAGUGUGACAAGGCUUAUGCACCAUCAACGGAAAACACUAUGAGAACCCGACUAAUCUCCUUUGUGGCUUUUGGAAAUGGUUGUUGUGGGAGCCGAAAUCGUCUGAGAACAAGGAUAUUAGUUGACCCGUGAAUCAGGGCUGUAUUUUAAGACACCAUCGCUUCUCACAUCAACUAUUUCUAAAGGUCAAAGAGGGGAUCAAUCGGGUUUUCAUGAGUGUUUUUUAAGGUUCAUGGCACAGAAGAAGGGUCACACUACCACCAGGGUCAUAAAACUACCCCUGGAAAUGCCCACAACUCCUACGAAAGACUUAUCAAAUCUGUUUUCUUAGGUUCAUGGUGCAGAAGAAGGGUCAAACUACCACCAGGGUCAUAAAACUAUCCCCGGAAAAGCCCACAACUCCUACGAAAGACUUAUCAAAUCUGUUUUCUUAGGUUCAUGGCACAGAAGAAGGGUCACACUACCACCAGGGUCAUGAAACUACCCCUGGAAAUGCCCACAACUCCUACGAAAGACUUAUCAAAUCUGUUUUCUUAGGUUCAUGGUGCAGAAGAAGGGUCAAACUACCACCAGGGUCAUGAAACUACCCCUGGAAAUGCCCACAACUCUUACGAAAGACUUAUCAAAUCUGUUUUCUUAGGUUCAUGGCACAGAAGAAGGGUCUCACUACCACCAGGGUCAUAAAACUACCCCUGGAAAUGCCCACAACUCCUACGAAAGACUUAUCAAAUCUGUUUUCUUAGGUUUAUGGUGCAGAAGAAGGGUCACACUACCACCAGGGUCAUAAAACUACCCCUGGAAAUGCCCACAACUCCUACGAAAGACUUAUCAAAUCUGUUUUCUUAGGUUCAUGGCACAGAAGAAGGGUCAAACUACCACCAGGGUCAUAAAACUACCCCUGGAAAUGCCCACAGCUCCUACGAAAGACUUAUCAAAUCUGUUUUCUUAGGUUCAUGGUGCAGAAGAAGGGUCAAACUACCACCAGGGUCAUAAAACUACCCCUGGAAAUGCCCACAACUCCUACGAAAGACUUAUCAAAUCUGUUUCCUUAAGUUCAUGGCACAGAAGAAGGGUCAAACUACCACCAGGGUCAUGAAACUACCCCUGGAAAUGCCCACAACUCCUACGAAAGACUUAUCAAAUCUGUUUCCUUAAGUUCAUGGUACAGAAGAAGGGUCAAACUACCACCAGGGUCAUAAAACUACCCCUGGAAAUGCCCACAACUCCUACGAAAGACUUAUCAAAUCUGUUUUCUUUGGUUCAUGGUGCAGAAGAAGGGUCAAACUACCACCAGGGUCAUAAAACUACCCCUGGAAAUGCCCACAACUCCUACGAAAGACUUAUCAAAUCUGUUUCCUUAGGUUCAUGGUGCAGAAGAAGGGUCAAACUACCACCAGGGUCAUAAAACUACCCCUGGAAAUGCCCACAACUCCUACGAAAGACUUAUCAAAUCUGUUUCCUUAAGUUCAUGGUACAGAAGAAGGGUCAAACUACCACCAGGGUCAUAAAACUACCCCUGGAAAUGCCCACAGCUCCUACGAAAGACAUCAAAUGUUUUUUUAGGUUCAUGGCACAGAAGAAGGGUCUCACUACCACCAGGGUCAUAAAACUACCCCUGGAAAGGCCUACAGCUCCUACGAAAGACUUAUCAAAUCUGUUUCCUUAGGUUCAUGGUGCAGAAGAAGGGUCAAACUACCACCAGGGUCAUAAAACUACCCCUGGAAAGGCCUACAGCUCCUACGAAAGCCAUGUCAAAUAUGUGAACUUGGGCGACGAAACGAUUUAAAAUACGACCCUCAGACCGCAGCACGUGAAUCUUGCCUCCUGUUUGCUGCACGCUGUGGCUGCAGGCUGAGGCGAGACUGCCGUGUUUCUGACCGGCGUGACCAUUGCUGUGCCUCCUCGGUCUCUGCCACACGGAGCACAGGUGACCAGCCCAAGGAAGGUGGUCCCGGGCCGUGUGUGUGUGCUGCGGGCGGGCUGUGUCUUGGCCAGGCGGAUCAUUACAUGUGCUGCUGGUCGUCUGCUACCUCCCUGCUGCGCCUCCUUGCUUGGCCUGCUCCCCGGCCUUUAGGAAAACAAGUUCACUACCUCCCCCCCCCCCCCACUGCAGCACACAGCAGACGCCUCCCACAGUAUCAAGACCACCACCACCCGAAAUUGACCUCUUGGCCACUCUUAAAUUUUAACUUUUUUUAGGAGCAGCGUUUAGCGGGGUUAUUUUAUUCCACACGUUUGUUUAUGCCCUUGAGCUGCUUCCUUUCCCUCUUAGGAUUCUUUUUGUGAGCAGC